rnacentral:rRNA from 1 species
GAUGAACGCUAGCUACAGGCUUAACACAUGCAAGUCGCGGGGCAGCAUGUCGGUUGCUUGCAACCGAUGAUGGCGACCGGCGCACGGGUGAGUAACGCGUAUCCAACCUGCCCUUCACCACGGAAUAAUCCAGUGAAAAUUGGUCUAAUACCGUAUGAGGUCAUACGAUGGCAUAAGAAUAUGACGAAAGGUUUGGCGGUGAAGGAUGGGGAUGCGUCUGAUUAGCUUGUUGGUGAGGUAACGGCGCACCAAGGCGACGAUCAGUAGGGGUUCUGAGAGGAAGGUCCCCCACAUUGGAACUGAGACACGGUCCAAACUCCGACGGGAGGCAGCAGUGAGGAAUAUUGGUCAAUGGGCGAGAGCCUGAACCAGCCAAGUAGCGUGCAGGAAGACGGCCCUAUGGGUUGUAAACUGCUUUUAUAUGGGGAUAAAGUGAGCUACGUGUAGUUUAUUGCAGGUACCAUAUGAAUAAGGACCGGCUAAUUCCGUGCCAGCCGCCGCCGUAA